rnacentral:rRNA from 1 species
UACGUAGGUGGCAAGCGUUGUCCGGAUUUAUUGGGCGUAAAGCGCGCGCAGGCGGUUCGCCUCGUCCGAGGUGAAAUCUCCCGGCUCAACUGGGAGGGGUCUUCGGAUACGGGCGGACUUGAGGAGAGCAGAGGGGAGCGGAAUUCUGGGCGUAGUGGUGAAAUGCGUAGAUAUCCAGAGGAACACCAGUGGCGAAGGCGGCUCACUGGGCUCCACCUGACGCUGAGGCGCGAAAGCGUGGGGAGCGAACCGG